rnacentral:piRNA from 1 species
UAAUCCCAACAGGUGGGUGUCACUGUU